GACCGCGUAGCUCAGUUGGAAGAGCAUUGGGCUAGUAUUCCUAAGGUCGUAGGUUCGAAUCCCACCGUGGCCG
rnacentral:tRNA from 1 species